rnacentral:rRNA from 1 species
GAUGAACGCUGGCGGCGUGCCCAAUACAUGCAAGUCGAGCGAACAGACGAGGAGCUUGCUCCUCUGACGUUAGCGGCGGACGGGUGAGUAACACGUGGAUAACCUACCUAUAAGACUGGGAUAACUUCGGGAAACCGGAGCUAAUACCGGAUAAUAUAUUGAACCGCAUGGUUCAAUAGUGAAAGACGGUUUUGCUGUCACUUAUAGAUGGAUCCGCGCCGCAUUAGCUAGUUGGUAAGGUAACGGCUUACCAAGGCAACGAUGCGUAGCCGACCUGAGAGGGUGAUCGGCCACACUGGAACUGAGACACGGUCCAGACUCCUACGGGAGGCAGCAGUAGGGAAUCUUCCGCAAUGGGCGAAAGCCUGACGGAGCAACGCCGCGUGAGUGAUGAAGGUCUUCGGAUCGUAAAACUCUGUUAUUAGGGAAGAACAAAUGUGUAAGUAACUAUGCACGUCUUGACGGUACCUAAUCAGAAAGCCACGGCUAAUUACGUG